ACGGAAGGCAGCAGUGGGGAAUAUUGGGCAAUGGGGGAAACCCUGACCCAGCAACGCCGCGUGAAGGAAGAAGGCCUUCGGGUUGUAAACUUCUUUUACCAGGGACGAUAAUGACGGUACCUGGAGAAAAAGCAACGGCUAACUACGUGCCAGCAGCCGCGGUAAUACGUAGGUUGCAAGCGUUGUCCGGAUUUACUGGGUGUAAAGGGCGUGUGGGCGGAGCUGCAAGUCAGAUGUGAAAUCCCGGGGCUCAACCCCGGAACUGCAUUUGAAACUGUAGCCCUUGAGUAUCGGAGAGGCAAGCGGAAUUCCUAGUGUAGCGGUGAAAUGCGUAGAUAUUAGGAAGAACACCAGUGGCGAAGGCGGUUAGCUGGACAAUAACUGACGCUGAGGCGCGAAAGCGUGGGUAGCAAACAGGAUUAGAUACCCUGGUA
rnacentral:rRNA from 1 species